CGAUGAACCGCUUUCGGGCGGGGAUUAGUGGCGAACGGGUGAGUAACACGUGGGCAAUCUGCCCUGCACUCUGGGACAAGCCCUGGAAACGGGGUCUAAUACCGGAUAUGACCGUCUGCCGCAUGGUGGAUGGUGUAAAGCUCCGGCGGUGCAGGAUGAGCCCGCGGCCUAUCAGCUUGUUGGUGAGGUAGUGGCUCACCAAGGCGACGACGGGUAGCCGGCCUGAGAGGGCGACCGGCCACACUGGGACUGAGACACGGCCCAGACUCCUACGGGAGGCAGCAGUGGGGAAUAUUGCACAAUGGGCGAAAGCCUGAUGCAGCGACGCCGCGUGAGGGAUGACGGCCUUCGGGUUGUAAACCUCUUUCAGCAGGGAAGAAGCGAAAGUGACGGUACCUGCAGAAGAAGCGCCGGCUAACUACGUGCCAGCAGCCGCGGUAAUACGUAGGGCGCAAGCGUUGUCCGGAAUUAUUGGGCGUAAAGAGCUCGUAGGCGGCUUGUCACGUCGGUUGUGAAAGCCCGGGGCUUAACCCCGGGUCUGCAGUCGAUACGGGCAGGCUAGAGUUCGGUAGGGGAGAUCGGAAUUCCUGGUGUAGCGGUGAAAUGCGCAGAUAUCAGGAGGAACACCGGUGGCGAAGGCGGAUCUCUGGCCGAUACUGACGCUGAGGAGCGAAAGCGUGGGAGCGAACAGGAUUAGAUACCUGGUAGUCCACGCCGUAAACGGUGGGCACUAGGUGUGGGCAACAUUCCACGUUGUCCGUGCCGCAGCUAACGCAUUAAGUGCCCCGCCUGGGGAGUACGGCCGCAAGGCUAAAACUCAAAGGAAUGACGGGGGCCCGCACAAGCGGCGGAGCAUGUGGCUUAAUUCGACGCAACGCGAAGAACCUUACCAAGGCUUGACAUACACCGGAAACGUCUGGAGACAGGCGCCCCCUUGUGGUCGGUGUACAGGUGGUGCAUGGCUGUCGUCAGCUCGUGUCGUGAGAUGUUGGGUUAAGUCCCGCAACGAGCGCAACCCUUGUCCCGUGUUGCCAGCAGGCCCUUGUGGUGCUGGGGACUCACGGGAGACCGCCGGGGUCAACUCGGAGGAAGGUGGGGACGACGUCAAGUCAUCAUGCCCCUUAUGUCUUGGGCUGCACACGUGCUACAAUGGCCGGUACAAUGAGCUGCGAUACCGUGAGGUGGAGCGAAUCUCAAAAAGCCGGUCUCAGUUCGGAUUGGGGUCUGCAACUCGACCCCAUGAAGUCGGAGUCGCUAGUAAUCGCAGAUCAGCAUUGCUGCGGUGAAUACGUUCCCGGGCCUUGUACACACCGCCCGUCACGUCACGAAAGUCGGUAACACGCCGAAGCCGGUGGCCCAACCCCUGUG
rnacentral:rRNA from 1 species